UUAAGAGUGUCUAGAGUUGGGCCAUGAGGGUCUCUUAACGCAUUCUUUUUUCUUCUCAUCGGGGUUACUCAGUGCAAACUACCAAGCUGGAGUAUGGUAGGGAUAGAGCGAAUUUUUGAUGGAGCAGUGAAAUGUGUAGAGAUCAAAAAGAAUGCCAACGGCAAAAGCACAUUGCUGGGCUGACACUGACAGUGAGAGCCAAAAGCUAAGGGAGGCGAAUGGCAUUAGACACCCUAGUAGUCCUAGCCAUAAACGAUGGAUACUAGGUAUUGUGCGUAUCAGCCUGUGCAGUCUGCAAUGUUGUAGCUAACGUGUUGAGUAUUCCA
rnacentral:ncRNA from 1 species